rnacentral:rRNA from 1 species
UACCAGCACCCCGAGUGGUCGGGACGUUUAUUGGGCCUAAGGCAUCCGUAGCCGGUUCUACAAGUCUUCCGUUAAAUCCACCUGCUUAACAGAUGGGCUGCGGAAGAUACUAUAGAGCUAGGAGGCGGGAGAGGCAAGCGGUACUCGAUGGGUAGGGGUAAAAUCCGUUGAUCCAUUGAAGACCACCAGUGGCGAAGGCGGCUUGCCAGAACGCGCUCGACGGUGAGGGAUGAAAGCUGGGGGAGCAAACCGG